AGCUGCAAGCAAGUGAAUAAUCUUACCUUGAUGCAGCAGAGGCUGUUCAGGGAGUUUGACCUUAAUAAUUCACCUCUCUCUGGUUUUGCUUUUCUUUGAACUUGAAAUGUCAGACAUCAGCUAGGGGAAGAGAUAAAAUGGGAUGGGUUUCUGAGCAGGUAUCAAAAGAUCCAGAUCUGGAGAAAGGAGCAGACCCUUAACACUCAACCAACUACACUAUGAAGAAACAGUCUUGACAUGAAGUCUAGAAGAACAGGAAGUAUUGCCAGUGGCUCCUCAUUCUGGCAAAGCGAGAUCCAACGAGGGGGGCCACGUGCCUUUUCUAGAAGGAGACAAUUUGGAAUCUGAGCUACAGCUGGAGAAAGGAAGCAACCGUGGACCUGGAGGUGGAACAUACGAAUGACUCAGAAGGCACAAACAUCCCCACAUGAGAGAAGAAACACGAUUCACUAAACCGAAGGAGGAGGAAAGUGGCACGAGAAAAGCAUUCACUGGAAAGAUUGGAAAAAUAAUAAAAAAAACCCCAAGAAACCCCCAAAAGUAUGGAAGCCGAUCUGCUACUGGCCUGUGAGAGCUGUGCUUUUUCUAUACAAACCUGGAGAGUGAAUGACAGGUUGGAGUUAGAAGUCAUUUUUGAACUAGGAACAAAAAGCAACGAAACAUCAGUUCCGUGUGAGAGGGGGUUACCUGAUAGCCAGCGGUGGCCUGCAGUGGUUAAAUAAACUCCAGGCAACAAAGAACACAUACAAAAAUGCAAAUCCACGUGGAAAUGGAAACUAAUUAAAAUGAAGAACUGAGAAUGGCA